UGGGGAAUUUUCCGCAAUGGGCGAAAGCCUGACGGAGCAAUACCGCGUGAGGGAGGAAGGCUCUUGGGUUGUAAACCUCUUUUCUCAGGGAAGAACACAAUGACGGUACCUGAGGAAUCAGCAUCGGCUAACUCCGUGCCAGCAGCCGCGGUAAUACGGAGGAUGCAAGCGUUAUCCGGAAUGAUUGGGCGUAAAGCGUCCGCAGGUGGCAGUGCAAGUCUGCUGUCAAAGGUCAGGGCUUAACCCUGAACAGGCGGUGGAAACUGCACAGCUAGAGUGCGGUGGGGGCAGAGGGAAUUCCUGGUGUAGCGGUGAAAUGCGUAGAGAUCAGGAAGAACACCGGUGGCGAAAGCGCUCUGCUAGGCCGCAACUGACACUCAUGGACGAAAGCUAGGGGAGCGAAUGGG
rnacentral:rRNA from 1 species